UCAGUCGUGGGUGCACUNCCCCGCAGGCCAGCAUCAGCUCGCUGCAGGGAGAAAAGGCGGCGGGAACGUGGCUCUGGAGUGUUAUAGCAUGCCCUCCAGCGGGCUGAGGUUCGCGCCUGGCAAGGAUGCUGGCGUAAUGGCCAUCAGCGACCCGUCUUGAAACACGGACCAAGGAGUCGUCCUAGCAUGCGAGUGUUCGGGUGCAAAACCCCUACGCGAAAUGAAAGUGAACGGAGGUGAGAGCUUGGCGCAUCAUCGACCGAUCCUGAUGUUUUCGGAUGGAUUUGAGUAGGAGCAUGCUGGGCCGGACCCGAAAAAGGUGAACUAUGCUUGGAUAGGGCAAAGCCAGAGGAAACUCUGGUGGAGGCUCGCAGCGGUUCUGACGUGCAAAUCGAUCGUCAAAUCUGAGCAUGGAAAGACUAAUCGAACCUUAGUAGCUGGUUUCCGCCGAAGUUUCCCUCAGGAUAGCAGUGUGAGCUUCAGUUUUAUGAGGUAAAGCGAAUGAUUAGGGACUCGGGGGGCUAUUUAGCCUUCAUCCAUUCUCAAACUUUAAAUAUGUAAGAAGCCCUCGUUGCUUCGGUGAACGUGGGCAUUCGAAUGGCACUAGUGGGCCAUUUUUGGUAAGCAGAACUGGCGAUGCGGGAUGAACCGAUCGCGAGGAUAAGGUGCCAGAGUAGACGCUCAUCAGACACCACAAAAGGUGUUAUCACAUCUUGACAGCAGGACGGUGGCCAUGGAAGUCGGAAUCCGCUAAGGACUAACAACUCACCUGCCGAAUGUGAUAGCCCUGAAAAUGGAUGGCGCUCAAGCGUCUCACCCAUACCUCGCCUUCAGGGUAGACACUAUGCCCUGAAGAGUAGGCGGA
rnacentral:rRNA from 1 species